ACCACGACUCUCGACAAUGGAUAUCUCAGCUCUCAUUUCGAUGAAGA
rnacentral:rRNA from 1 species